CCCCACCGCCCACUGCUAAGCCGGGAGGGCGGGGGUGCGUGUGUGCGUAUUUAGACCUCCGCCGUGUAAUAUCCCGCGUGUGUGCAGCUCAGGGGAGGUUGUGGUACACGCAAGAACUGACAAGACAGGCUGGAGAGGCGGCGUGCCCCGCGCCCAGACGAGACGAGGCGCCGAGGGUGGACACACGUGGGGGCCCGUGCGCAGCCCGGGGGGGCGGGCACCGUGAUACAGUGUGCGUGCCCCGUGCUGUAUACUAUACCAAAACAUUGAAAGUUAACUGACUGCAAUUAGAAAAGCUUUAAAUAAACCAAGAUGGCUCUGUCAAUUCUGAUACAACCACAACGCGAAGUUUUAUUUCUUCCUCAAUUUGGGGCCGUGACUCUGAUAGGGACGCCUGGAGUGAUUGGUUGAGAUAUGGACUGAUGCCCCGGCACCAAACUAAGAGCAGUUACAAAAAAAAAGAGAAAUCACUGAAGAACGAUUUGGUGCUAUGAUGUUUCCAAUGUAUGGUGUGGCCAGGACCAUUAAAGAAAUAAGACUGUUAGCUAAUAUAUUAGAACAACCCAAGGAGAAGAGAGGGAGCAACUAAUGGCCUUUCAGUGCGACUUCCAUUCUUUAUUGCUUGAAUAUGAUCAACUGGCUUUGAAGAAAAUCUCCAAGGCCUCUUUAGAAGUCUACUGAUCAAGGUAUGGAAGAGAAGC